rnacentral:rRNA from 1 species
GAGUUUGAUCAUGGCUCAGAAUGAACGCUGGCGGCGUGCUUAACACAUGCAAGUCGAGCGGAAAGGCCCUUCGGGGUACUCGAGCGGCGAACGGGUGAGUAACACGUGAGUAACCUGCCCCCGACUCCGGGAUAAGCCUGGGAAACCGGGUCUAAUACCGGAUACGACGCCCGGCCGCAUGGCCGGGGGUGGAAAGUUGUUUCGGUCGGGGAUGGGCUCGCGGCCUAUCAGCUUGUUGGUGGGGUGACGGCCUACCAAGGCGACGACGGGUAGCCGGCCUGAGAGGGCGACCGGCCACACUGGGACUGAGACACGGCCCAGACUCCUACGGGAGGCAGCAGUGGGGAAUAUUGCGCAAUGGGCGGAAGCCUGACGCAGCGACGCCGCGUGGGGGAUGACGGCC